GGCCACACAGCGAUUCCACAAAAGUCACUCUACAGGGUGUCUAUGUUGGGCUGGCAAUUUAAAGUACUGAUUGUGGUACAUUAUUGCUGGGGGGCGGGGCAAGUAAGGCACUUCAAAAACUAUUGUAGACACUAUGAAAAAUCAAACCAGGGCUUGCAUGUUGAGUUCUCUCUCCUGAAGAUUUGGUAGAACUUCCAUCAUGCAGUGAUGUCACAGUGUUAGGUAUCCCUGCCUGCCCAUUGGCUGGCAAUGGCACAGAACUCUGUGAUGCCACAAUAGAUAUUGCAGAGGGGAAGCAGAAAAUUAGACAUGCAGUUAUUUUUGGUGACAGACGUACAUCUGGUUAUUGGGCUCCUUUCAUGAGAUACAGUUGUGUUCACCUCAUGCAGGAUUUUGGGGGGAGGGGGAGGGGGGACUUGGAGAGCAUGAGUUGCUUAUGUCCGCUGUUUAGGCAAACAUGAUUCUCACUCCUUUUCCAUUUCACCUAGGAAAAGCCAAUUAUUUUGGACCAAGAACUGUUAAUUCUGGCAAAUAAAGGAUCUUACAGACCAAGAAUUGCAGUAUCCAACGUUAUUCCCUCUGGAUCUGUUUCUUCUGGACGAUGUGUCUGCAUCUGUGUUCAUUGGCUGCCUAACAACCCAACAACUGUGAAAUGACUUCCUGUGUCUACCAGCCAGCCGCAUAUUCCAUGCACCCUCCAAGAUAAUUCUGAUCAGCUGCUUUUCUAGGAUGCGAAGGUGUUUUCUAGAAUGAUGACCCUGUCAAGCAUUCUCCAUCUGAAUUUCAUUAACAGUAUUCUCAAAGCGAAGUGAAAAAUAUGCAUCUGGGGAACCAUAUAUAAUCUGAG